UACAGAGGUCCCAAGCGUUGUUCGGAUUCACUGGGCGUAAAGGGUGCGCAGGUGGUCGGGUAAGUCUGAUGUGAAAUCCCGCAGCUCAACUGCGGAAUGGCAUUGGAUACUAUUUGGCUAGAGGGUUGGAGGGGGGACUGGAAUUCUCGGUGUAGCAGUGAAAUGCGUAGAUAUCGAGAGGAACACCAGUGGCGAAGGCGAGUCCCUGGACAUUUCCUGACACUGAGGCACGAAAGCUAGGGGAGCAAACAGG
rnacentral:rRNA from 1 species